UACGGAGGAUCCGAGCGUUAUCCGGAUUUAUUGGGUUUAAAGGGAGCGUAGGCGGGAGCUCAAGUCAGCUGUGAAAUGUACACGCUCAACGUGUGCACUGCAGUUGAAACUGGGUUUCUUGAGUGCGUAAGGGGCAGGCGGAAUUCGUCGUGUAGCGGUGAAAUGCUUAGAUAUGACGAAGAACUCCGAUCGCGAAGGCAGCUUGCCGGGGCGCAACUGACGCUGAAGCUCGAAGGUGCGGGUAUCGAAC
rnacentral:rRNA from 1 species